CCCAUUUUGAGUCAAUUGCUUUCUUUCAUUUUGGUAGUGCAGUUAGUUCCCAAGUAUUAUGUCUUCUAGUGCGGACAGCUCAGCUUACAUGACCUUAACCCACUUGCUAUCCUUUUUAGAUCCCUGUAUGACAUUUGUUCCUUCGUAAUAGACACUUGUACAACGAAAUUAACAUAGCCAUGAUUGUAUUCAAGUGAGGUGGACAUGAAGAAGGGAGGUUUGGGCACAGGUUGUUCAGUGAUAUGGGCAAUAAAGUCUUCCAUGCAGGCGGGCCUGCUUCUCACCCUGGUGCUCCUCCUCGUUUUAGACUCUUGGGGGAUGAUGUUUGGUAAGGGAAUUUCUUCUCUACUUUGUAACAGGUUUUCGGGUGUGGUUGCUGUGUCGAUGCUUGAUAUUGGUAGUGGUGUAUCAUGAUAAUCUGGUUUAGGGUGUUGUGUUUGGUAUGGAUGAAUAUGUUCAUGUAAUAUGAC
rnacentral:lncRNA from 1 species